rnacentral:rRNA from 1 species
UACUACCGAAGCUACGGCAUCAGUAAUGAUGGGUAGGGGAGCUUCCCAUACGGGUUGAAGCAUGACCGUAAGGACAUGUGGACAGUAUGGGAGUGAGAAUGUUGGCAUGAGUAGCGAGAUGUGGGUGAGAAUCCCACAGGCCGUAAACCCAAGGUUUCCAGGGGAAGGUUCGUCCGCCCUGGGUUAGUCGGGACCUAAGCUGAGGCCGAAAGGCGUAGGUGAUGGACAACAGGUUGAUAUUCCUGUACUACCGAUAACCAUUUGAGAGAAGGGAUGACACAGUAGGAUAAGCUAAGCACACUGUUGGUUAUGUGUGCCCAAGCAUUGAGGCAGUCAAAGUAGGCAAAUCCGCUUUGAUAAUGCUGGGAUGUGAUGGGGAGCGAAAUUUAGUAGCGAAGUAGCUGAUUUCACACUGUCAAGAAAAGUCUCUAUCGAGGUUAAAGGUACCCGUACCGCAAACCGACACAGGUGGGUGAGGAGAGUAUCCUAAGGCCAGCGAGAGAACUGUUGUUAAGGAACUCGGCAAAAUGACCCCGUAACUUAGGGAUAAGGGGUGCCACCAUCAGGUGGCCGCAGAGAAUAGGCCCAAGCGAC